UACGAAGGGUGCAAGCGUUACUCGGAAUCACUGGGCGUAAAGCGUGCGUAGGCGGUUUCUUAAGUCUGUCGUGAAAGCCCUGGGCUCAACCUGGGAACGGCGAUGGAUACUGGGAAGCUAGAAUGUGAGAGAGGAUGGUGGAAUUCCUGGUGUAGCGGUGAAAUGCGCAGAUAUCAGGAGGAACACCGGUGGCGAAGGCGGUUCUCUGGGCCUUACCUGACGCUGAGGAGCGAAAGCAUGGGGAGCAAACAGG
rnacentral:rRNA from 1 species